rnacentral:ncRNA from 2 species
AGCCGUUAUCACGAAUCUCUAGGGAGAUAGCAACCUGCAGCAACAAGCAAGGUGCUAAAACGAUAAGCCAAAUUCUUUGGAAAAAACGUUGUUUUA